AUUCUUACCUGGUGCUGGGGCCUCGAUCACUGAGGACCAGCCCCCAAGGCUAGGCGCAGGCAUUGCACUGUGCUUGCACUGACCCCUGCCACUACCCCAAACUGGGGCAGAUGGGGCAUGCGAAUUGC
rnacentral:snRNA from 1 species